rnacentral:misc_RNA from 1 species
GUGAAUCAUCAAAUCUUUGAACGCAUAUUGCACUCCCUGGUAUUCCGUAGAGCAUGCCUGUUCGAGGGUAAUUAAAAAGAAUCUUUAACCAAUUUUUUUUGGUCACAGGAAAUGAGCUCUCCGCGUUAAUAGCGGUAGCUUGAAAUAAACGGUCAAGUCUCAUUUUAGUCGAGACGCGUAAUAAUAUUAUUUCGCCAAAUCUCCAUUAUGUGACUAUC